GGAGUGCGCACCGAGCGGCAGUGACUUCGCCGCUGCUGUAGUUCCCCGGCUGGAUGCGGUGACUGGUGCCAGUGCUCAGGCGCCCGCUGCCCUUGACCUCCCGCCCCGCGAGCCCUAACUCAGCGCAGGAGGACCGGCUGCCGCCGCCGCCGCCGCCAGAUCCACACAACUUAAAGAUCUGCUGUCGAGUGAAUGGGGAAGUGGUCCAGAGCAGCAACACCAACCAGAUGGUAUUCAAGACAGAGGACCUGAUAGCCUGGGUGUCCCAGUUUGUUACCUUUUACCCAGGGGAUGUCAUCCUGACUGGGACCCCCCCACCUCCACCCAGGUGUCGGUGUAUUCAGGAAACCUCCUGUCUUUCUCAAGGUAGGUUAGUGAAAAGCAAAGAGAGCAAGGGCCCCAAAGGGCUGGCAGGCUUGGCUCAGACUUGAGAAGUACAGGCUUGUGUACGUGUGUCUGACGGAAGGGCUGACACUCUCAUGGCCUGCUCUGUUGCAGAAGGGGGAUGAAGUCCAGUGUGAGAUUGAAGAACUAGGUGUCAUCAUCAACAAGGUGGUGUGAUGGCUCCUGCACAGGCCCUGCACAUAGGAUGAGGGCAUCUGCUCCCACUCAGCCUAGCCCAGGGAAAGGCCCAGUGACAGGUGUGGACAGGUGCCAGCCCUGCAAGCCGCCUCUUCUCGGUAGAAGGGAGAAGGACAGAGCUCUCUUCAAUAAAUUCGUCGGGUCAAAGCA
rnacentral:lncRNA from 1 species